rnacentral:lncRNA from 1 species
AUAAAAAGGCUUAGGGUGCAAAUUUGGGUAUCAGACAAAGAAACAGUCAAGGCUCAGAUUGGUUAACUAGGUGAAAUAUGAUCAAGGUAGGCUUUUAGAAAGUCAAAAGGGGUUAAACCUAAUUGCCCUUCUCAUAUUAAUGCCUCAAAUUCAAACGUGGUCUCGACAUGCAUAACAAAGCAAGUUCUAGAAUAUCAAAUCAUGUGUGAUAUCACUCAUUCAAAGCAAAUAGAGCAAUUAUAAAUGUAAUGCUCAUUAGGCCCAAAAGCUCACAAAA